rnacentral:rRNA from 1 species
GACGAACGCUGGCGGCGUGCUUAACACAUGCCAGUCGAACGGUGAAGCAGAGCUUGCUCUGUGGAUCAGUGGCGAACGGGUGAGUAACACGUGAGUAACCUGCCCUUGACUCUGGGAUAAGCGUUGGAAACGACGUCUAAUACCGGAUACGAGCUGAGACCGCAUGGUCAUCAGUUGGAAAGAUUUUUUGGUCAAGGAUGGACUCGCGGCCUAUCAGCUUGUUGGUGAGGUAAUGGCUCACCAAGGCGACGACGGGUAGCCGGCCUGAGAGGGUGACCGGCCACACUGGGACUGAGACACGGCCCAGACUCCUACGGGAGGCAGCAGUGGGGAAUAUUGCACAAUGGGCGCAAGCCUGAUGCAGCAACGCCGCGUGAGGGAUGACGGCCUUCGGGUGGUAAACCUCUUUUAGUAGGGAAGAAGCGAAAGUGACGGUACCUGCAGAAAAAGCACCGGCUAACUACGU